rnacentral:lncRNA from 1 species
UCGUCAAUCACACAACUAUAAUAAAAACUUAACUGAAUAAAUUAACUGCAGAAUAGUCAGCUUGUUCUCCAUUGUUGGAAGUUGAAAAAGUUCAUUGGAAUUUCGAACAGAAGUAAACAUACUCAACUUCUUCAAGUAAUCUGAUUUGGAAUUUCCAACCGAAGUAAACAAACUCAACUUCAAGUAAUCUGAUGUCAUUAUUGAAUUCGUAACUAAGAGAUCAUACAAACUCAAUUAUUAAGCUAUUCCAAAUUCGAACUAAGCAACAAAUGCAAUCAGAAGCUGAAAGGAUCAAAGGGUAUAUCAAAAUAAUAUGUUCUCCAGUCUCUUUAUAUGUACGUGCCAAGUAUUUAAUUCAAUCCACAACCAAUCACUCUAACCCUACAAAUAAAAAUCUUAUUCUGUAAAAGAGGGGAGAAAAAUACUUAGCAGCAUUAGAUGUCCAACAAAAAUAUUAGAAACUCUGACUUAGGUCUAGGUACAAUGAAGCUUAUCAUUGUGCACUCCAAAGUCUGCAACACAAGUUGUGUGCAUCCAUAUCAUAUGGUAACGCCAGGAUGGCAAAUAAUUACCCACUUUUAUCAUACGGUUAUAGCACAGCCUUGUCAUAUUGAAAACAUGUAAGCGCUUUCCUAAUAAUUACCCACUUUUAUCAGAUUAAGCAUUGUUUUCGAUGGAAUCCGAAAACAAUAAUUUCUUUAGUUGUACUAUGUAGCAACUUACAUAAAUACCAAAAACCAUAUUCUUGAUUAGCUAUCCCUCAGUGUUUAGCCAACGUGAAGAUGUCCAGAUACAUGUCUAGAACUCAUAUAUUGGGGUUGAUGAUGUUAUAGAAGGUCCAACUUUUGCAAGUGCAUCUGUAUUUAACUGUCGUGUUUCAUUGUCAGCAGCAUCAUUCAUAUGUCUUCUAGCCAAACCUUCAAAUGCCAACUCCACUUAAGGUUGUUUAUUACAUAGUAAUGAAUAAUGUUUGUAAACUAUUAUGUUCUAUAUAACAACUAUGUUACCUUGCAUAUUGAAUAGAAGACUUGUUAGGAUGGAGGGUUGAUACAUGUGGACUGCAAGUGUUGAGUGAAUUGAAGAUUUUGGUUGCCACCCUACAUGAAAUAACAUUAUUAGUGCAUCGUAUAUUUUCAAUGCAAUUAAACCAUACACUGAGUACUAACCAUAAGGAAGUGUGUAUUUGAGAAAGGUAGCAGCACGUGUAAUUGUUGAGGUAACUAAACGAUGGGUGCAUCAGUUCCCAUAUUACUUGCACGAACCUUCGAUUUCUUCCCUUCGUUGAACUCGAAGUUGGCUACAAAACAGGGAAUGGUAUUAGACAUUAUCUCUACAAUAACUUUACAACAUUUGGAUACCAAAAUCUGGGCAUUACCUUAACUCUGUUCAUACUUGAUUCCAAUGGGCUAUUCUUCUGAAGUUUCCUAGGGGCACAUUUUCUUUUCGCACAUUCUGGAUCCCUGAUGCUACCACUUCCAAUAUCCAGUGAUGCUCCAUACUCGGAUGAUGUCUGAGUAAUAUGCGGGGAUAGGAUAUUACUAUUACUAUUUGACUUCUACAUCAUCAUUUCUUUACAUUGACUAUCGAUCCACUCAAUUAUGACAUUGGAUUUGACUUCAUCAUCUG